GGACUUGCAGGAAUCACUAGAGCAGUGAAUAAGUUUUCUGAAGUCUUAAGAGAAACUUGAGGCAUAAUUUGAAGUUGAACUAGAGAAAAUAAGGGUUUGGGCUGCCCUCACCCCCAA
ensembl:misc_RNA